rnacentral:sRNA from 1 species
GUUACCCACUCCAAUCUGGUGACAGAAAGGAGGUGUAAAUUUGGAUUAUGUUUUUUCUUUUAUAGUUGCUGUCAUGGCUGGUGUGGUAUGUCACUACAUCAUCAAAUGGUUAGACAGUAAACUGGAUCGGUAACUAACCUGUAGAUGCUCAACUACAUAAAACGAGAAGAAACCCCUCAGAGAUGCCGCUCUGAGGGGUUUCAUUUUGUGUAAA